rnacentral:lncRNA from 1 species
CUUCUGCCUUUGUGUGCUUUCUCUCUCUCCUGCUUCCAAGUCAAGAUGUGCUGGCUUCUCCUUUGCCCUUCUGUCAUUAUUGUGAUCAUUCCACUCUUCUGCUAAUGUCAUGUUCUGGUUCAGGGAGUCCUCCAGGGAUGGCCAUACCUUUCUCUCCAAGAGCUUUGGCGAACUCUACUCCAAUCUGAACAGGUUACUCAAUGUGAAGAUGACAACAAGGGUGAAGACUUUAAUGAUGAUCCACUUCCACUUAAAAAAUAAUAAAUAUAUUUUCU